CAACUUGAGAGUUUGAUCCUGGCUCAGAACGAACGCUGGCGGCAGGCCUAACACAUGCAAGUCGAACGGACGUAGCAAUACGUUAGUGGCGCACGGGUGAGUAACGCGUGGGAACCUAUCUUUCGGUUCGGAAAAACGGAGGGAAACUUCCGCUAAUACCGUAUACGCCCCAAGGGGGAAAGAUUUAUCGCCGAUUGAGGGGCCCGCGUCUGAUUAGCUAGUUGGUGAGGUAAAGGCUCACCAAGGCGACGAUCAGUAGCUGGUCUGAGAGGACGAUCAGCCACACUGGGACUGAGACACGGCCCAGACUCCUACGGGAGGCAGCAGUGGGGAAUAUUGGACAAUGGGGGCAACCCUGAUCCAGCCAUGCCGCGUGAGUGAUGAAGGCCUUCGGGUUGUAAAGCUCUUUCGCACGCGACGAUGAUGACGGUAGCGUGAGAAGAAGCCCCGGCUAACUUCGUGCCAGCAGCCGCGGUAAUACGAAGGGGGCGAGCGUUGUUCGGAAUUACUGGGCGUAAAGAGUACGUAGGCGGUCCGUUAAGUUAGAGGUGAAAUCCCAGGGCUCAACCUUGGAAUUGCCUUUGAUACUGGCGGGCUUGAGUCCGAGAGAGGGUGGCGGAAUUCCCAGUGUAGAGGUGAAAUUCGUAGAUAUUGGGAAGAACACCAGUGGCGAAGGCGGCCACCUGGCUCGGUACUGACGCUGAGGUACGAAAGCGUGGGGAGCAAACAGGAUUAGAUACCCUGGUAGUCCACGCCGUAAACGAUGUGUACUAGUUGUUGGGAAGCUUGCUUUUCAGUGACGCAGCUAACGCCUUAAGCACACCGCCUGGGGCGUACGGCCGCAAGGUUAAAACUCAAAGAAAUUGACGGGGGCC
rnacentral:rRNA from 1 species